rnacentral:tRNA from 1 species
UUGGGAGUAUAGCUCAGUGGUAAAGCUCAUGCUUAACAUGUGCUAGGUGCUAGGUUCAGUUCCUGGCUCCAAAU